CCUACGGGUGGCAGCAGUGGGGAAUAUUGGGCAAUGGGCGCAAGCCUGACCCAGCAACGCCGCGUGAAGGAAGAAGGCUUUCGGGUUGUAAACUUCUUUUGACAGGGAAGAGUAGAAGACGCUACCUGUCGCAUAAGCCCCGGCUAACUCCGUGCCAGCAGCCGCGGUAAUACGUAGGUGGCACGCGUUGUCCGGAUUUACUGGGUGUAAAGGGCGUGUAGCCGGGUUGGCAAGUCAGUUGUGAAAGCCUGCGGCUUAACCGCCGAACUGCCUUGGAAACUGUUGAUCUUGAGUACAGGAGAGGCAGGCGGAAUUCCUAGUGUAGCGGUGAAAUGCGUAGAUAUUAGGAGGAACACCAGUGGCGAAGGCGGUCUGCUGGACAGCAACUGACGGUGAGGCGCGAAAGCGUGGGGAGCAAACAGGAUUAGAUACCCGGGUAGUC
rnacentral:rRNA from 1 species